UUGGCAGGGGGAAGGAGGGAAUGUUUGAUCAGAGGUUUGCACUCACCGUUUGCGAGCGUUCGCUGCCGCUGCCCGAAUCCCUGCUGCCCGUCCCUGCACACAGCUGCGGGGUGGUUCCCAGUCCCCUCAGGGCCCAGCCACAUCACUCCACACUGUCCAACCUUUAUAUUUUUACCUUCCUACCAUGAGAAUAAGCCAAGCACACAGCGUUCCAACAGCCCCAAUCAUUUCCCACCCCUUACCCACCCACCAGAUCCCAACACUGCUCGGCCUGUUAACCAGCCCAGCUAAUGAAGGAAAUCAAUGAAAUUUAAAACAAACAAGCAAACAAAUGACUCCUAGGCAGAGGUGUUGUCCCACAUGAGAAGUACCAGGAAUUCCCUGUGGUUGGCUUGCAACACCCUGUUGAUUCUGCAUGGCUAGCCUCCAGCUACGGCUGCGAUGGGCAGAUGGCUUUGCACUUGGCAGACCUCAGCAGCCUGGCGCAUGGGGAGAACGCGGCUUUCUGCGCUGCCAGGAGAAGCCAGAAGUCUUCAUUCACUCAUGCGGCUGCUCCACAAUGUGAAUUUAUUUUUGUGCUGGAGACUCCAUAGCAAAGGAUGCUAUCAUGAGCUCAGCUCAGGGAAGCCACGCAGGAGCCCUCCCAGCACCAGCCUUGGCAGUCACAGCAGCUGGUGGCAUGGCCACCAAGUCCCCCACUUGGAGCUGGCCUCUCAGGGCCAGUGUGGUAAGCUCUGGGCAUCUGGGGAGUGAGAUCUUUGAAGUUCGGACUGCUCUUUGGGUCUGUAGGAGACCUGGUAAGACACCAGGGUGCUGUCACCACCCUGCUGUCCAUGCAUCCCCCCAGAGGUGGCUGCCCAUCGUCUGACACCUUCUCCUGCUGCUCAGCAGGCAUCCAGAUCCCUGGGGGUUUCUUAUGAAGACCCAUGUCAACCAGUGGCCCAAACACCUCCUGCUGUCUGCAGGACACAAACCAGGUCCUGGGCAUCUCUCGGUGGUGUGGGGAAGGAGCAUGGUGGACUCCUGAGUUUCUGAGCUCCUGGGCUGGAACUCAUCCCCCAUCCCCAUUUAGACACAACAGAGACUGAGGGUUUGUGGCUCUGUGGCAUUUCCAGCAAAGCAAAAUGGGCAGAGCCCACCCUUCCCGUCUGAGAGGGAAGCGAUGAGACACCCUCAUAGGAAGCUCACCAGCAACGCCACCCAAGCUGGCAUUUGUCUGGUUCGCAACAGAAUCAUAUUGCAUUAAUCAAAAUUCAGUCCAUCAUCUGCUCCGACACCCACGCCUCCCUGCCCAGCUCGUGUUCCCUGAGCCUCGCCGCUCUCGGCUGAAGGAACGCUUGUCUUAAGUUGCCAUCUAGGGGAGCAGGAUAAGGCAGUGGCUUGGAGGUGGGUUAUGAAAGAAAACACACCAGGAGCCUUCAGGUGCUUUACAAAGGGAAGCUGCAACCACAAAAAUAGCAAUGGAGUGAAAAUGAAGGCAGACAAAAUGCCUGAAAUACAGCUGGGUAGUGUAAUUGCAAACACAGGUCUUUGCUUUGCAAGCCUGGGAAAAGAAAAGGGAAAUUUCUUGGUAGUGAGAGGAAGAUGCUCAGCCUGUGCAGGGCUGUCCCUUCAGAGUGGAUUCAGGGUCCAGCCCCAGUAAAUAUACAAGUGCAGGAAUAGCAAACCUGAGCUCUGCUCUCACCUCCCUGGCCAAGGAAUCGCAGCAGUCACGCCGGCACUGCUGUGUUUGCUGGGGAAGGGGCUGGGGCUC
rnacentral:lncRNA from 1 species